rnacentral:rRNA from 1 species
AGAGUUUGAUCAUGGCUCAGAAUCAACGCUGGCGGCGUGCCUAACACAUGCAAGUCGAACGAGAAAGGGUAGCAAUACCUGAGUAAAGUGGCGCACGGGUGAGUAACACGUGACUAACCUACCCUGGAGUGGGGAAUAACUGAGGGAAACCUUAGCUAAUACCGCAUAAUACCUACGGGUCAAAGGAGCAAUUCGCUUCAGGAGGGGGUCGCGGCCGAUUAGCUAGUUGGCGGGGUAAUGGCCCACCAAGGCAGUGAUCGGUAUCCGGCCUGAGAGGGCGCACGGACACACUGGAACUGAAACACGGUCCAGACUCCUACGGGAGGCAGCAGUGGGGAAUUUUGCGCAAUGGGGGAAACCCUGACGCAGCAACGCCGCGUGGAGGAUGAAAUCCCUUGGGAUGUAAACUCCUUUCGAUCGGGACGAUUAUGACGGUACCGGAAGAAGAAGCCCCGGCUAACUUCGUGCCAGCAGCCGCGGUAAUACGAGGGGGGCAAGCGUUGUUCGGAAUUAUUGGGCGUAAAGGGAGCGUAGGCGGUUUUGUAAGUCGUGUGUGAAAUCUUCGGGCUCAACCCGAAGUCUGCACACGAAACUGCAGGGCUUGAGUAUGGGAGAGGUGAGUGGAAUUCCUGGUGUAGCGGUGAAAUGCGUAGAUAUCAGGAGGAACACCUGUGGCGAAAGCGGCUCACUGGACCAUUACUGACGCUGAGGCUCGAAAGCUAGGGGAGCAAACAGGAUUAGAUACCCCGGUAGUCC